GAUGUUGUGGAAGCACUAAUAGGAGUAUAUUACGUUGAGGGUGGAAAGUAUGCUGCAAACCACUUCAUGAAAUGGAUUGGAGUUGAGGUUGAUUUCGAUUUCAAUUUCAAAGAGACAGAAUACUCUAUUAGGUCUUGUAGCAUUCCUGAGAAUGUACUCAAGAGUGUUGAGUUUGAUGCAUUACAAGGUGCUUUGAACAUCAGCUUCAAUGAUAAAGGCCUACUGCUAGAAGCAAUUACCCAUGCUUCACGCCCAUCUUCUGGGGUCUCCUGUUAUCAAAGACUGGAGUUUGUGGGUGAUGCAGUAUUAGAUCAUCU
rnacentral:misc_RNA from 1 species